rnacentral:tRNA from 3 species
GCGGGAAUGGCGGAAUUGGCAGACGCGCCAGGUUGAGGGCCUGGUGGCCGCAAGGCCGUGGAGGUUCAAGUCCUCUUUCCCGCA